UAAAAUUACAUUAAUUCAAAUAAUACAGGAUUUUAAAAUUAAUAACAUUACAAUAAUUAAAAAUUAGGUAAAACAACUAAAAGAAUUUAAAAAAUUAGAAUUUUAAAAUUAAACAAAUCAAAAAUUAAAUAAAUAAUCUUAAUAAAAAAACAAAAAUAUAAAAAGAAUUAAAAGAAUAGAAAUUUAAAAUUAGAAAAGAUAAUUAAAAUAAAAAAACCCUACCCCUCGCCGCCCAUUUCCUUUCUUUUCUUCCCCCACCGCCUCUCAUUUUCUGUUUCUGUUCUUUCUUCCUCCAGUUCUUUGCAAAUCCUCUUUUUAUUUAUUUUAAAUUGUGAGUGCACACCACGUAAAAUCAUUUUCCCACUUGGUGCCCAGCACCAACAAUAGUAUCUAGCAUGAGCCGCAGCG
rnacentral:lncRNA from 1 species